rnacentral:misc_RNA from 1 species
UACGUAGGGUCCGAGCGUUGUCCGGAAUCAUUGGGCGUAAAGCGCAUGUAGGCGGCCCUUUAAGUCGGAUGUGAAAUCCCGAGGCUCAACCCCGGAACUGCAUCCGAUACUGUAUGGCUUGAGGAAGGUAGAGGAGAGUGGAAUUCCCGGUGUAGCGGUGGAAUGCGCUGAUAUCGGGAGGAACACCAGCGGCGAAGGCGGCUCUCUGGGCCUCUCCUGACGCUGAGAUGCGAAAGUGUGGGGAGCAAACAGG